rnacentral:rRNA from 1 species
UACAGAGGGUGCGAGCGUUGUCCGGAAUCACUGGGCGUAAAGGGCGCGUAGGUGGCGGCCCAAGUCCAUGGUGAAAGCUCGAUGCUCAACAUCGAGUCGGCCACGGAUACUGGGUUGCUCGAGCACUGUAGGGGCAGAUGGAAUUCCGGGUGUAGCGGUGAAAUGGCGCAGAGUAUCAAGGAGGAACACCGAUGGCGAAGGCAGGGAUCUCUGGGCAUUAACUGACGCUGAGGAGCGAAAGCAUGGGGAGGCGAACAGGA